rnacentral:misc_RNA from 1 species
UCACUUCGCGACCUAUCGUCGGGGCAGUCUGUAAUACUGUUGUUGAGAUGAACCCAGAACCAUUUGAAUUCGACGCAGUAAGAGUGUUCUUUAGCAAGCCGGUGUAAAUUCCGGCUUCUAAUUCUAACUCCUACAAUUUAUUUCGCCAUGUGGAAAAUUUGUUUGCCAAAAAAUUACCGCCUGAUCUUCAUUUCUGUGUGGUUCAUAAGCUAGCAUUUUUUCUUUCUUUUUAUUACUCCAAACGUGCGAAGAAAAUUGGACAUCCGGCUCACCCACGUUUCUCUCUGUCUUUGAUCUUCGCCAAUUCAAUAAUCUGAAGUUGCCGACUCUGAAAUACUGAUCUACAUAUGGCUAACUUCACACAAUUCGGACAGCCUCCAUGUCUUCCAAUGGCUUCUUCAAACUGUAAUAACGACAACCUGUCAAAAUUACAAUUCUAUGCGUCAGAUAAUCUGUAUCAAGAUCGCCACGAAGUCGGAUGGGAAAUUGUGUGGAUAAAACAAAGAAAUACACGGCAGAGAAUGCGAGGCAGGAACCUCAGGUCGCCUACGCCAGUUACUCCAGCCUUGACAACGUAUUAAGCCGCCGGAGCUCAAGAUUUGCUCUAUUCAGUGGGAGUAGCGCAGGCAACUCGACGACAUCUGCACACGUCGAAUGGUCAAGACGCUCCCGUGCUUCUCGUAUUUCCCGGAUUUCACGAAUCUCUCGGCGAACUGGCAGUCAAGAUACACCUGAGGAUCCGUGCUCAUUAUCAAAGACGAGAUGGCCGGUACCGCAAUUUGAAGCAGCCUUUUUACCUGAGUUCAAAAUUAAAGAAACUGCGUACAAGACAAAUUAUGAUAUCAUCGAUCUCAUAUCUAAGGGCGCUUACGGCCAGGUGUACAAAGUCCGCAGCCGAAUUGACGGAGAAAUAUUUGCACUGAAGGUUCUCAAUAAGGCACAAAUAAUUGCUGAGGAUGCCAUUGAGCGUGUCAAAGACGAAGUGCGCAUACAGCAAGUUGUCGGGCAUCAUCCGUUUGUGGUGAAUGCCUCACGCUAUUGGCAGGACAAAAGGCGACUCUAUGUUGGUAGUGACUAUGUUUCUGGUGGUGAAUUGUUUACUUUGGUUGAAGGAUACGGAAACCUACCCGAAGAUGCAGUGAGAAUUCUUGUGGCUGAAGUUGCGUUAGCUAUAGAUUUCCUCCAUAACGCCGGUAUUAUUCAUCGGGAUGUAAAAGCUUCCAAUGUGCUUUUGGACGAGGAGGGUCAUGCCCAACUGAUAGAUUUUGGUUUUGCAAAGUGGUUGAAGCAUGGACAAAAAACAUCAACGCUUUGCGGAACUCCGCAAUACAUAGCUCCAGAGAUUCUACGUGGAGAGCCAUAUGGUCAUGCUAUCGACUGGUGGUCUCUUGGUGUCCUCAUGUACUUUCUGUUGACAUCAGAGAUGGUAUACGGCCGGAGACUACGUCUCGAAUACGUGCGGCAGGUCGUUCUUAACGGUACACGUAGACCUCGACGAUACGUCGAAACGAAUUUCAUAAUUCGUCGACAGGUUCUGGAGCCAACUGGACGGCUGGUUAGCGAGUCGAUGAUAGAAGAUGUAUCAUCGCUAGACGACGCACGCUGUAUAUACGGUAUAACGACAACGGGCAAUCGUGGUAUACCAGUUCAGGCAGAUAGGCAGGGGGCUGGCUCUUCGGUGAUGAAAAUGAAAAAGACGCUGGAAAGAUCAAGAGAGAGAGAAAAGGAGAUUCAUGAGGGGGUUAGGGAGGGGGAGGCAGCAGGGCCAGGUUCACUGGUUAUAGUCGCCGUCUUUGUCCGGGUUCCGAUUCUCCCCGUAUAUCCAUCUCCUAUCCUCUAUACAUAUUAAACAUUUAUUAUACACCGGGAGUAAGCAGCCCAAGAUGUCCCGGCUGCCAUUGAUGCUGCUCUGCUGUGAGACGUACGCGACGACUUCUGGUGAUGGUGAUGGUGAUGGUGAUGGUGCAGCACGCGAUACGCGGGGUGAAGGGCGGCGAGUUCAGACCGGCUAGAAACUCACGAAGAAGACCGUCGUCGAGGAGAAAGAGAAGGAGGAGGAGGAGGAGGACAAGCGAGUAUUGAGAAACUGUGAUAGUAUACACGGGCGUAGGUAUACAACAACUCGCUUCUGCCAAGUCUUGCCCUCGCCGUGAGUUUAGAGCUAGAGUCGGCCAAGCGAUGCACAACCACCUUGUACACCUCCGGGCCCCAGGAACGAGAAGUAGCGUAGCCGCUUGUCUUCGCCAGUCUUGACGGGGUGGU